AGGGAUCAUUACACAAAUAUGAAGGCGGGCUGGAACCUCUCGGGGUUACAGCCUUGCUGAAUUAUUCACCCUUGUCUUUUGCGUACUUCUUGUUUCCUUGGUGGGUUCGCCCACCACUAGGACAAACAUAAACCUUUUGUAAUUGCAAUCAGCGUCAGUAACAAAUUAAUAAUUACAACUUUCAACAACGGAUCUCUUGGUUCUGGCAUCGAUGAAGAACGCAGCGAAAUGCGAUAAGUAGUGUGAAUUGCAGAAUUCAGUGAAUCAUCGAAUCUUUGAACGCACAUUGCGCCCUUUGGUAUUCCAAAGGGCAUGCCUGUUCGAGCGUCAUUUGUACCCUCAAGCUUUGCUUGGUGUUGGGCGUCUUGUCUCUAGCUUUGCUGGAGACUCGCCUUAAAGUAAUUGGCAGCCGGCCUACUGGUUUCGGAGCGCAGCACAAGUCGCACUCUCUAUCAGCAAAGGUCUAGCAUCCAUUAAGCCUUUUUUCAACUUUUGACCUCGGAUCAGGUAGGGAUACCCGCUGAACUUAAGCAUAUCAAUAAGCGGAGGAAAAGAAACCAACAGGGAUUGCCCUAGUAACGGCGAGUGAAGCGCCAACAGCUCAAAUUUGAAAUCUGGCUCUUUUAGAGUCCGAGUUGUAAUUUGCAGAGGGCGCUUUGGCUUUGGCAGCGGUCCAAGUUCCUUGGAACAGGACGUCACAGAGGGUGAGAAUCCCGUACGUGGUCGCUGGCUAUUGCCGUGUAAAGCCCCUUCGACGAGUCGAGUUGUUUGGGAAUGCAGCUCUAAAUGGGAGGUACAUUUCUUCUAAAGCUAAAUAUUGGCCAGAGACCGAUAGCGCACAAGUAGAGUGAUCGAAAGAUGAAAAGCACUUUGGAAAGAGAGUCAAACAGCACGUGAAAUUGUUGAAAGGGAAGCGCUUGCAGCCAGACUUGCUUACAGUUGCUUCAUCCGGGUUUUUACCCGGUGCACUCUUCUGUAGGCAGGCCAGCAUCAGUUUGGGCGGUAGGAUAAAGGUCUCUGUCACGUACCUCCUUUCGGGGAGGCCUUAUAGGGGAGACGACAUACUACCAGCCUGGACUGAGGUCCGCGCAUCUGCUAGGAUGCUGGCGUAAUGGCUGUAAGCGGCC
rnacentral:rRNA from 1 species